rnacentral:lncRNA from 1 species
AUUAAUUAAACAACUACGCACUGCCACACACUCUCUUAUUUCUAGAUCUCUCUCCUCUCUCUCAGCAACAACGGCGCGUCUCUCUCUCUCCGAGGGACGUUAACGAGGACAAUGUCGACGACCUUGACCUGUACAUAGUAAUCCUCCGAUCUCCUCCCCGCAGUAGACAUCCGCGACUCCGAUCUUUGCAUCUUUUACGCCGAAUUCUCCAGCUCAGGUGCCGACCUCCUCCGCCUUGAAUCAGACUGACCAUUCGAAGACAAGUCUAGGAUUUGCAGCUCCCCAUUUCUGCCCAAACCCUGAGGAAUAGACCCAGUGAAGUUUUUCUCCCAUAGCUGCAGGACCUGGAGCUCCGGCAAGUCACCGAUGAAGUCUGAAUUACACCGUGAAGCUGGUUCUGGAAGAGAUUGAGAAGCGUUAAGUUCUUUAGCUUUGAGAAAUAGACCAGAAUCUCGCCGAAGAACAAGUUGUUGGAUAAGUCCAUGGAAUUCAAGCUUUUGAGGUAGCCCAACUCAGACGUCAAUGACCUGGAAAGCGCAUUCACCUGGAGAAACAAAGUAUCCACAUUUUGCAACUGACCUAGUUCCGGCCGGAUCUCGUUGGAUAAAUUGCAGUUUGCAGGUCGCGGUUUUGCUUUGACUAAUAACCUCGUCAUCCUCAGCGAAUUCCAGCCUCCUCUCAG